GACUUNUGCNCGGAGGGACAUUACCGAGUUAUACAACUCAUCAACCCUGUGAACAUACCUAAAACGUUGCUUCGGCGGGAACAGACGGCCCUGUAACAACGGGCCGCCCCCGCCAGAGGACCCCUAACUCUGUUUUUAUAAUGUUUUUCUGAGUAAACAAGCAAAUAAAUUAAAACUUUCAACAACGGAUCUCUUGGCUCUGGCAUCGAUGAAGAACGCAGCGAAAUGCGAUAAGUAAUGUGAAUUGCAGAAUUCAGUGAAUCAUCGAAUCUUUGAACGCACAUUGCGCCCGCCAGUAUUCUGGCGGGCAUGCCUGUUCGAGCGUCAUUACAACCCUCAGGCCCCCGGGCCUGGCGUUGGGGAUCGGCGGAAGCCCCCUGUGGGCACACGCCGUCCCUCAAAUACAGUGGCGGUCCCGCCGCAGCUUCCAUUGCGUAGUAGCUAACACCUCGCAACUGGAGAGCGGCGCGGCCAUGCCGUAAAACACCCAACUUCUGAAUGUUGACCUCGAAUCAGGUAGGAAUACCCGCUGAACUUAAGCAUAUCAAAA
rnacentral:rRNA from 1 species